CACGCCGUAAACGAUGAUAACUAGCUGUCGGGGGUCAUGGACUUUCGGUGGCGCAGCUAACGCAUUAAGUUAUCCGCCUGGGGAGUACGGCCGCAAGGUUAAAACUCAAAGAAAUUGACGGGGGCCUGCACAAGCGGUGGAGCAUGUGGUUUAAUUCGAAGCAACGCGCAGAACCUUACCAGCGUUUGACAUCCUGAUCGCGGUUACCAGAGAUGGUUUCCUUCAGUUCGGCUGGAUCAGUGACAGGUGC
rnacentral:rRNA from 1 species